CGGCGGGACCUUCGGGCCGGGGCUGGAGAGGAAGGGCAGGUGUGAAAGGAGGAGCCUCUAUGAGCCCCCCGGUAGGCACGCUUGAGCCCGAUUUACCGGCACCCGCCUGUGCCUCACCAGAGGUGAAAAAGGAGCGGGGUGAAUACGGUCCACAUAGGAUUUAACGGCUAGAAGAAAUGUGGCACACAGCGAGAGAAAGCUUAAUCCUCAGUUCUGGCCAUUUGCUUUUGUGUGGGAAUUACUGAGUCAUGUCCUGAUCCAAUCACUGAGCACCUGGUGAAGGGGCAGAGCCAUUCCCUGGGAUCACAGGUGAAAGCAAUUCACCUGUGCAACCGGAAGGGAUGGAACCAGGUUCCACCCCUUCCUAAACCUCACUUAAGAGCUG
ensembl:lncRNA